ACAUUUAAUACAAUAAUUGCAAUUUUUUUAAAGGUGUUUAAUCCUACAAUUAUUUUUAAUACAUCUAGUAGAAAAUAUAAUUAGUCUAAUUUAUAGUACCUACGACAAUCAAUCGAAUUAGUUUGAUGUUAAAAGAAAUAAAAAAUAUUGAACUAUAAACUUUUGGCUCAUUAUUUUCAUAAACUUUAUUUUUUAUUUUAUAUUAAGUAAGCGAAAGAUAAUUUAAUAAUCAAAAUUUAUUUGCUCAUAAAUUAACAGACCUGCAGGUUACUCAUUUAAAGAAAAUAUACAAUAAACAUUAAAGGAUAACUAAUCAGAAAUAAUGGUUUGCAAAAAAAGCCACAUAUUUUUCUUAACUUGUCAAUCAUGAAAUAUUUUUUAUUUUCAUGCCUGAUGUUUCAUAAGGAAAGCAAUAUUGGGAAUAUGCAUUAUUAAUUAGCUUAUUCAUUAAAUAAUAAUAUAUUGGCUGAAAACAAUUUUAGGAUAGUAUUUCGGAAGUUAUUAAUGAUGUAGCAAUAUAGUAAGAGGUGAAGUGCUGAUGUUUUUAUAAAUGUAUUUUUCUAGUUAACCAUUCUGCUCCUAUCUAGGUCAUUAUAUACAACACCUAAAUACAUUCAAAUCAGAGCUCUCCCAAUUACUGAGAAGAAUAUGUGCAACGUGAACAAUUCUGUAUUUUGAAGUGGACCUUGAUCACACAAUGUAAUACAAUUAUCAUUAAAUUGAUGUUCAGAUAAAAAUUAUGACAUGUAAUGUAUCUAAAGAUAAUGCGUCAGAGCACAUUUAAGAGAAAUACACAGAGCUCAUUUAAAAUA